rnacentral:rRNA from 1 species
AGUGAACGCUGGCGGUAGGCUUAACACAUGCAUGUCGAACGGCAGCACAGUAAGAGCUUGCUCUUACGGGUGGCGAGUGGCGGACGGGUGAGGAAUACAUCGGAAUCUACUUUUUCGUGGGGGAUAACGUAGGGAAACUUACGCUAAUACCGCAUACGACCUACGGGUGAAAGCAGGGGAUCUUCGGACCUUGCGCGAUUGAAUGAGCCGAUGUCGGAUUAGCUAGUUGGCGGGGUAAAGGCCCACCAAGGCGACGAUCCGUAGCUGGUCUGAGAGGAUGAUCAGCCACACUGGAACUGAGACACGGUCCAGACUCCUACGGGAGGCAGCAGUGGGGAAUAUUGGACAAUGGGCGCAAGCCUGAUCCAGCCAUACCGCGUGGGUGAAGAAGGCCUUCGGGUUGUAAAGCCCUUUUGUUGGGAAAGAAAAGCAGCAGGUUAAUACCCCGCUGUUCUGACGGUACCCAAAGAAUAAGCACCGGCUAACUUCGUG